AACGAACGCUGGCGGCAGGCUUAACACAUGCAAGUCGAACGAAGUCUUCGGACUUAGUGGCGGACGGGUGAGUAACACGUGGGAACGUGCCUUUAGGUUCGGAAUAACUCAGGGAAACUUGUGCUAAUACCGAAUGUGCCCUUCGGGGGAAAGAUUUAUCGCCUUUAGAGCGGCCCGCGUCUGAUUAGCUAGUUGGUGAGGUAAAGGCUCACCAAGGCUACGAUCAGUAGCUGGUCUGAGAGGAUGACCAGCCACAUUGGGACUGAGACACGGCCCAAACUCCUACGGGAGGCAGCAGUGGGGAAUCUUGCGCAAUGGGCGAAAGCCUGACGCAGCCAUGCCGCGUGGAUGAUGAAGGUCUUAGGAUUGUAAAAUCCUUUCACCGGUGAAGAUAAUGACUGUAGCCGGAGAAGAAGCCCCGGCUAACUUCGUGCCAGCAGCCGCCGUAAUAC
rnacentral:rRNA from 1 species